AGGAGCCGAAGAAGGACGGGACUAACACCGAUAUGCUUUGGGGAGCUGUACGUAAGCGUUGAUCCAGAGAUUUCCGAAUGGGGGAACCCACUAUCUUUAGUCGGAUAGUAUCCUUACGUGAAUACAUAGCGUGAGGAAGGCAGACCCAGGGAACUGAAACAUCUAAGUACCUGGAGGAAGAGAAAGAAAAAUCGAUUUCCUGAGUAGCGGCGAGCGAAACGGAAAGAGCCCAAACCAAGAAGCUUGCUUCUUGGGGUUGUAGGACACUCUAUACGGAGUUACAAAAGAAAGUUAUAAAUGAAGCGGUCUGGAAAGGCCCGCCAAAGACGGUAACAGCCCGGUAGUUGAAAUGGCUUUCCCUCCAGAGUGGAUCCUGAGUACGGCGGAACACGUGAAAUUCCGUCGGAAUCCGGGAGGACCAUCUCCCAAGGCUAAAUACUCCCUAGUGACCGAUAGUGAACCAGUACCGUGAGGGAAAGGUGAAAAGCACCCCGGAAGGGGAGUGAAACAGUUCCUGAAACCGUGUGCCUACAAGUAGUUAGAGCCCGUUAAUGGGUGAUAGCGUGCCUUUUGUAGAAUGAACCGGCGAGUUACGAUUUGUUGCAAGGUUAAGCGGAAAAAGCGGAGCCGUAGCGAAAGCGAGUCUGAAUAGGGCGCAUAAGUAACAGGUCGUAGACCCGAAACCAGGUGAUCUACCCAUGUCCAGGAUGAAGGUAAGGUAAUACUUACUGGAGGUCCGAACCCACGCACGUUGAAAAGUGCGGGGAUGAGGUGUGGGUAGCGGAGAAAUUCCAAUCGAACUUGGAGAUAGCUGGUUCUCUCCGAAAUAGCUUUAGGGCUAGCCUCGAGGUAAAGAGUCAUGGAGGUAGAGCACUGUUUGGACUAGGGGCCCUUCUCGGGUUACCGAAUUCAGAUAAACUCCGAAUGCCAUGUACUUAUACUCGGGAGUCAGACUGCGAGUGAUAAGAUCCGUAGUCGAAAGGGAAACAGCCCAGACCACCAGUUAAGGUCCCCAAAUAUAUGUUAAGUGGAAAAGGAUGUGGGGUUGCUUAGACAACCAGGAUGUUGGCUUAGAAGCAGCCACCAUUGAAAGAGUGCGUAAUAGCUCACUGGUCGAGUGACCCCGCGCCGAAAAUGUACCGGGGCUAAACAUAUUACCGAAACUGUGGAUGAACCUCUUUAGAGGUUCGUGGUAGGAGAGCGUUCUAAGGGCGGUGAAGUCAGACCGGAAGGACUGGUGGAGCGCUUAGAAGUGAGAAUGCCGGUAUGAGUAGCGAAAGAAGGGUGAGAAUCCCUUCCACCGAAUAUCUAAGGUUUCCUGAGGAAGGCUCGUCCGCUCAGGGUUAGUCGGGACCUAAGCCGAGGCCGAUAGGCGUAGGCGAUGGACAACAGGUAGAGAUUCCUGUACCAGUGCUAAUUGUUUAACCGAUGGGGUGACACAGAAGGAUAGGGAAUCGCACGAAUGGAAAUGUGCGUCCAAGCAGUGAGUGUGAGAAGUAGGCAAAUCCGCUUCUCGCGAAGCAUGAGCUGUGAUGGGGAAGGAAAUUAAGUACGGAAGUUCCUGAUUUCACGCUGUCAAGAAAAGCCUCUAGGAAGAGUAGUACUGCCCGUACCGCAAACCGACACAGGUAGAUGAGGAGAGAAUCCUAAGGUGAGCGAGAGAACUCUCGUUAAGGAACUCGGCAAAAUGACCCCGUAACUUCGGGAGAAGGGGUGCUCUAUUAGGGUGCAAGCCCGAGAGAGCCGCAGUGAAUAGGCCCAGGCGACUGUUUAGCAAAAACACAGGUCUCUGCAAAACCGUAAGGUGACGUAUAGGGGCUGACGCCUGCCCGGUGCUGGAAGGUUAAGAGGAGUGCUUAGCUUCGGCGAAGGUACGAAUUGAAGCCCCAGUAAACGGCGGCCGUAACUAUAACGGUCCUAAGGUAGCGAAAUUCCUUGUCGGGUAAGUUCCGACCCGCACGAAAGGCGCAACGAUCUGGGCACUGUCUCAACGAGAGACUCGGUGAAAUUAUAGUACCUGUGAAGAUGCAGGUUACCCGCGACAGGACGGAAAGACCCCGUGGAGCUUUACUGCAACCUGAUAUGGAAUGUUUGUACCGCUUGUACAGGAUAGGUAGGAGCCGAAGAGACGUGUGCGCUAGCAUACGAGGAGGCAAUGGUGGGAUACUACCCUGGCUGUAUGACCAUUCUAACCCGCCACGCUUAGCGCGUGGGGAGACAGUGUCAGGUGGGCAGUUUGACUGGGGCGGUCGCCUCCUAAAGAGUAACGGAGGCGCCCAAAGGUUCCCUCAGAAUGGAUGGAAAUCAUUCGCAGAGUGUAAAGGCACAAGGGAGCUUGACUGCGAGACUGACAAGUCGAGCAGGGACGAAAGUCGGGCUUAGUGAUCCGGUGGUUCCGCAUGGAAGGGCCAUCGCUCAACGGAUAAAAGCUACCCCGGGGAUAACAGGCUUAUCUCCCCCAAGAGUCCACAUCGACGGGGAGGUUUGGCACCUCGAUGUCGGCUCGUCGCAUCCUGGGGCUGUAGUCGGUCCCAAGGGUUGGGCUGUUCGCCCAUUAAAGCGGCACGCGAGCUGGGUUCAGAACGUCGUGAGACAGUUCGGUCCCUAUCCGUCGCGGGCGCAGGAAAUUUGAGAGGAGCUGUCCUUAGUACGAGAGGACCGGGAUGGACACACCGCUGGUGUACCAGUUGUUCCGCCAGGAGCAUCGCUGGGUAGCUAUGUGUGGCAGGGAUAAACGCUGAAAGCAUCUAAGCGUGAAGCCCCCCUCAAGAUGAGAUUUCCCAUUUCUUCGGAAAGUAAGAUCCCUGAAAGAUGAUCAGGUAGAUAGGUUUGGAGUGGAAGUGUAGCGAUACAUGGAGCGGACAAAUACUAAUCGAUCGAGGACUUAA
rnacentral:rRNA from 1 species